rnacentral:rRNA from 1 species
GACGAACGCUGGCGGCGUGCUUAACACAUGCAAGUCGAACGGAAAGGCCCCUUUGGGGGUACUCGAGGGGCGAACGGGUGAGUAACACGUGGGUAACCUGCCCUUGACACCGGGACGACGUCAGGAAAGUAGGGCUAAUACCGGUUAGGAAUCCUUCCUGCUUGGGGGGGGUUGGAAAGAUUCUGGGGCCUUGGGUGGACUCGCGGGCUAUUGGCUUGUUGGUGAGGUGGUGGCUUACCAGGGCGCUGAGGCGUAGACGGCCUGUGGGGGCGACCGGCCACACUGGGACUGAGAUGCGGCCCCGACGCCGACGGGUGGCAGAAGUGGGGAAUAUUGCACAAGGGGCGGAAGCUUGAUGCAGCAACGCCGCGGGCGGGAUGACCGUCUUCUGGUUGUAAACCGCUUUCAGCAGGGGAAACGCUUGUGGUGACGGUACCUGCAGAAGAAGCACCGGCUAACUACGUG